GUGAUGCGGUGUCCCUUUGCCGAAUUGUGACGAGUUACGCCACAGGCUGA
rnacentral:snoRNA from 2 species